UGCAUAUCAAAAAGCGGAGGAAAAGAAACCAACAGGGAUUGCCCCAGUAGCGGCGAGUGAAGCGGCAAGAGCUCAGAUUUGAAAUCGUGCUAAUUUUUUUGGCACGAGUUGUAGAGUGUAGGCGGGAGUCUUUGUGGAGCACGGUGUCCAAGUCCCUUGGAACAGGGCGCCUGAGAGGGUGAGAGCCCCGUGGGGUGCCGUGCGAAGCUUUGAGGCCCUGCUGACGAGUCGAGUUGUUUGGGAAUGCAGCUCCAAGUGGGUGGUAAAUUCCAUCUAAGGCUAAAUACUGGCGAGAGACCGAUAGCGAACAAGUACUGUGAAGGAAAGAUGAAAAGCACUUUGAAAAGAGAGUGAAACAGCACGUGAAAUUGUUGAAAGGGAAGGGUAUUGGGCCCGACAUGGGGAGUGCGCACCGCUGUCUCUUGUAGGCGGCGCUCUGGGCGCUCUCUGGGCCAGCAUCGGUUCUUGCUGCGGGAGAAUGGGUGCCGGAAAGUGGCUCUUCGGAGUGUUAUAGCCGGCGCCAGAUACCGCGUGCGGGGACCGAGGACUGCGGCUUCUGUCUCGGAUGCUGGCACAACGGCGCAAUACCGCCCGUCUUGAAACACGGACCA
rnacentral:rRNA from 1 species